ensembl:lncRNA
GGCAUAUGGAGGUUCCCAGGCUAGGGGUCGGAUCAGAAGUGUAGCCACCAGCCUAUGCCAGAGCCACAGCAAUGCCAGAUCCGAGCUUUGUCUGCAACCUACACCACAGCUCAUGGCAAUGAUGGAUCCUUAACCCAGUGAGCGAGCCCAGGGAUCGAACCCUCAACCUCAUGGUUCCUAGUCGGAUUCAUUAACCACUGGGCCACGACGGGAACUCCAACAUGCUCACUUUAAACCAGUUGUAGCGGUGGUGGAUAAAAUGCAGUGGCUGCCUUAGCCUUCAGAGGUCUCCUGCUUGAUGUCUGAAGUCAGGGAAGGAGUCAGCUUCCCUAGGACUACACAGAUCUCCCAAUGCGAAAAGUGAAAACGGGUCAACCAACAACCAUCUUCCACAUUUGAGUGUCAGAGAUAUAGAUUGCUCACUCAGGUAAAGCCUUGAUUUUCAUAUAACCUCAUUUAUUGAUUCUUAGUAGUCCCCCAAACUUUACACUCUUGGCAGCCUCUAUUUAAUCCAGUGAUUCGCGACACUUUCAGAGAUUCUGAUUUCAUUGGCCUAGACAUCAGUAUCUGGUUUUCAGCUCCCAAGAUGAUUCUGGUGAGCAGCCUGGGCAGCAGUGGGAAACCACUGUUAAUCUUUCGUUAUUGCCACUUCUUCAGUCAUAGGCUUAGGUUAAUGUAUACCUGAGCUAUGUUGAAUCUAAACAAAUAAGAAGAAUGUAGGCAAACAUGUAGUAAAAUUGAAUAAUAACUAUGCUUACUAAGACUUACUAAUAUGUUGCAGGCACAUUGCAAGGUGUUUUGCAUGCAUUAUCUCAUUGCAUCCACUUAAUAGUAAUCUUGUCUUUAACAAGGAGAAUUUUGUCUCUUUUUCACAGAUGAGAAAACUGAAGCCUAGAGAACUUAACUUGGUAGUCCAAGAUCAUUCAUCUAGUACGUGGUUAAGAUAGGACUUCAGGAGUUCCCAUUGUGGCUCAGUGAGUUGAGAACCUGAUGUAGUCUCUGUGAGGAUAUCCUUAACCCACUGAAGGAGGCCAGGGACAGAACCUUCAUCCCCAUGGAUCUCAAUCAGGGUCGUCAGUGCUGAGCCAGGAUGGGAACUCUUAUUUUAUAUACAUUGUAUUACACACAGAUUACGCCUAGAGUGUAUGUCUGCUGGUAUAAAAUGGGGUGUAACCUAAAUACAUGUUCACAAACUACACAUUGUGCACUUGGUGUUUAUAGCUAUACACACACACCCUAUAUUUUACACACAUAUGAAAGUUGUGGAUGUAGUUAGUAUAAGGGGGAACUGAUUUAGAGUUCAACCUUUGACUAGCACUCUGACCUUAGGCCAAGCAUCCAUGUGUGCGAGUCUCCUUUUUAUCAUCUUUAAAAUAGGGAGGGGAAUGCCCAUUGCGGCUCAGUGGUUAAUGAACCCAGCUAGUAUCCAUGAGGAUGCGGGUUUGAUCCCUGGCCUUGCUCGGUGGGUUAAAGGAUCCAGCAUGGCUGUGGCUGUGGCUGUGUUGCUGUAGCUCCAGUUUGGCCCCUAGCCUUAGAACUUCCAUAUGCUGUGGGUGCAGCCCUAAAAGAAAAAAAAAAAAAGACAAAAAACAAAAAAAAAA